UCUUCUGACUUGUACUUCUCCGCUUCCUGCACCAUCUUCUCAAUCUCCUCCUUGCUGAGCCUACCCUUGUCGUUGGUGAUGGUGAUCUUGUUCUUCUGUCCAGUGGUCUUGUCCUCAGCAGAGACAUUCAAGAUACCAUUGGCGUCAAUGUCGAAGCAAACCGUGAUCUGAGGAACCCCCCUAGGCGCAGGUGGAAUCCCAGAGAGCUCAAAUUUUCCAAGCAGAUUGUUGUCUCUGGUCCGGGUCCUCUCUCCCUCAUAAACCUGGAUCAAGACACCCGGUUGGUUGUCUGAAUAGGUAGAGAACACCUGUUCCUUCUUCGUGGGAAUGGUAGUGUUCCUGGGAAUUAAGACGGUCAUAACUCCUCCAGC
rnacentral:lncRNA from 1 species